rnacentral:rRNA from 1 species
UACGUAGGAGACAAACGUUAUCCGGAGUUACUGGGCGUAAAGGGCGUGUAGGUGGUAUCGUAAGUCUGGCGUGAAAUUUCUCGGCUUAACCGAGGCAGGUCGUCGGAUACUGCGAGGCUAGAGGACGGUAGAGGCGUGUGGAAUUCCGGGUGUAGUGGUGAAAUGCGUAGAGAUCCGGAGGAACACCAGUGGCGAAGGCGACACGCUGGGCCGUACCUGACACUGAUGCGCGACAGCAUGGGGAGCAAACAGG